UACGAAGGGGGCUAGAGUUGUUCGGAAUUACUGGGCGUAAAGCGCACGUAGGCGGAUUAGUAAGUCAGGGGUGAAAUCCCGGGGCUCAACCUCGGAACUGCCUUUGAUACUGCUGAUCUCGAGUCCGGAAGAGGUGAGUGGAAUUCCUAGUGUAGAGGUGAACUUCGUAGAUAUUAGGAAGAACACCAGUGGCGAAGGCGGCUCACUGGUCCGUUACUGACGCUGAGGUGCGAAAGCGUCGUGAGCAAACAGG
rnacentral:rRNA from 1 species